AAUGAACGCCGGCGGCAGGCCUAACACAUGCAAGUCGAACGGAUCCUUCGGGAUUAGUGGCGGACGGGUGAGUAACGCGUGGGAACAUACCCAAAGGUACGGAAUAGCCUCGGGAAACUGGGAGUAAUACCGUAUGUGCUCGAAAGAGGAAAGAUUUAUCGCCUUUGGAUUGGCCCGCGUUGGAUUAGGUAGUUGGUGGGGUAAUGGCCUACCAAGCCGACGAUCCAUAGCUGGUUUGAGAGGAUGAUCAGCCACACUGGGACUGAGACACGGCCCAGACUCCUACGGGAGGCAGCAGUGGGGAAUCUUAGACAAUGGGGGAAACCCUGAUCUAGCCAUGCCGCGUGAUCGAUGAAGGCCUUAGGGUUGUAAAGAUCUUUCAGGUGGGAGGAUAAUGACUGUACCACCAGAAGAAGCCCCGGCUAACUACGUGCCAGCAGCCGCCGUAA
rnacentral:rRNA from 1 species